UCACAAGAUCUUCAGAUGGGAGACUCAGUCUUCGAUUCAAGCGACACUAGAGAAGGAUCGCUACAGUACCCAGAGCAGAUCCGUGGAAAGCACCCCUGACACACGCAUAUUUGUGGAUGGGAUACCUGGAUUGAGAACGAACUCCAUCAACCCCCAAGACACUGCACCCCGCUCCGUUUCUGCUGGAGGAAACGCUACUUUCUAAAGGAAAAUACUGUUUAAAUGUGCAGAAUUACAGUACACACAAUACUUACA